rnacentral:lncRNA from 1 species
UAGUCUAGUUAAAAACAUGGACCCAUUCAACUACAACUUUUGGAGUUGAGUCUAGAGUAUCCUUGACCUAAUCUAAUUCAACUUUUGAUUAGAUUUGAUCAAUUACUCUAAUUUAGUCCAUUUCUUUAAGCUAACCUUAGGUCUAACCCAAUUAUGGACCUAAUCCAUCUAGCCCAUUGACCCACAAGUUUAUGCAAUUGUCUUAGGUCUUAAUUCAUAAUUCUAGACCUACUAGACAACACUUAAUUCUUUUAAUUAAGUAUUUGGGCUGAU